rnacentral:tRNA from 1 species
GGAGAGGUGCCGGAGCGGUCGAACGGGCUCGCCUGGAAAGCGUGUGUGCCUCACAAGGGUACCGAGGGUUCGAAUCCCUCCCUCUCCGCAA